rnacentral:hammerhead_ribozyme from 1 species
AUCCAGUUGACGAGUCCCAAAUAGGACGAUACGCGCGUCCUGGAU